GACGAACGCUGGCGGCGUGCCUAAUACAUGCAAGUAGAACGCUGAAGGAGGAGCUUGCUCUUCUGGAUGAGUUGCGAACGGGUGAGUAACGCGUAGGUAACCUGCCUGGUAGCGGGGGAUAACUAUUGGAAACGAUAGCUAAUACCGCAUAACAUUGACUAUUGCAUGAUAGUCAAUUAAAAGGUGCAAAUGCACCACUACCAGAUGGACCUGCGUUGUAUUAGCUAGUUGGUGGGGUAACGGCUCACCAAGGCGACGAUACAUAGCCGACCUGAGAGGGUGAUCGGCCACACUGGGACUGAGACACGGCCCAGACUCCUACGGGAGGCAGCAGUAGGGAAUCUUCGGCAAUGGACGGAAGUCUGACCGAGCAACGCCGCGUGAGUGAAGAAGGUUUUCGGAUCGUAAAGCUCUGUUGUAAGAGAAGAACGAGUGUGAGAGUGGAAAGUUCACACUGUGACGGUAGCUGACCAGAAAGGGACGGCUAACUACGUG
rnacentral:rRNA from 1 species